CCUUGAAAUACCACCCUUUAAUGUUUGAUGUUCUAACGUUGACCCGUGAUCCGGGUUGCGGACAGUGUCUGGUGGGUAGUUUGACUGGGGCGGUCUCCUCCUAAAGAGUAACGGAGGAGCACGAAGGUUGGCUAAUCCUGGUCGGACAUCAGGAGGUUAGUGCAAUGGCAUAAGCCAGCUUGACUGCGAGCGUGACGGCGCGAGCAGGUGCGAAAGCAGGUCAUAGUGAUCCGGUGGUUCUGAAUGGAAGGGCCAUCGCUCAACGGAUAAAAGGUACUCCGGGGAUAACAGGCUGAUACCGCCCAAGAGUUCAUAUCGACGGCGGUGUUUGGCACCUCGAUGUCGGCUCAUCACAUCCUGGGGCUGAAGUAGGUCCCAAGGGUAUGGCUGUUCGCCAUUUAAAGUGGUACGCGAGCUGGGUUUAGAACGUCGUGAGACAGUUCGGUCCCUAUCUGCCGUGGGCGCUGGAGAACUGAGGGGGGCUGCUCCUAGUACGAGAGGACCGGAGUGGACGCAUCACUGGUGUUCGGGUUGUCAUGCCAAUGGCACUGCCCGGUAGCUAAAUGCGGAAGAGAUAAGUGCUGAAAGC
rnacentral:rRNA from 1 species